ACUUUUCUCUUCUCUCCCUUGCCAAUGGUGUGUCAGUGUCUUUCCUUCCUACUCAGUAUUAGCUAGCUGCAACAUGCAUGGUUUUUUUGCCCCCUUCAUGAUUGAUAUAUUCGUCGUCAGAAAAGAAGAAAAAAAUGUGUGUUUUAUUAAACACAGUCACACAGAUGUGUGUAUUCUUUGCAGGUUAAUAACACAGCUUUGUUUGUUCUUAUUAUUAUUAGUUACAACAGCAGUAGGUGGCAAUGGCAAACAAGAACCUGGGUUCCACCGCGGUCUGGCAGAUGGUAACAAAGGGAGGCACUGGACCCAAGGCAAGGAAUGAAGGGGAAGGGCGGACAAGACCGCAUGCGGAGAUGAGAGGAAAGGGUGAGGCAACAAGAGCAAGAGACGAGACAGAAC
rnacentral:lncRNA from 1 species